rnacentral:SRP_RNA from 1 species
GCCAGGUGCGGUGGCACGUGCCUGUGGUCCCAGCUACUCGGGAGACUGAGGUGGGAGGAUCGCUUGAGCCCAGGAGUUCUGGGCUGUAGUGCGCUAUGUGGAUUGGGCAUCCACGUUAAGUUCAGCAUCAAUAUGGUGACCUCUCAGGAGUGGGGGACCACCAGAUUGCCUAAGGAGGGGUGAACCGGCCCAGGUCAGAAACGGAGCAGGUCAAAACUCCUGUGCUGAUUAGUAGUGGGAUCACACCUGUGAAUAGCCACUGCAAUGCAGCCUGGGCCUGGGCAACAUAGUGAGACCUAUCCUCU